UUGACAGGGCAAGGGGUCACGGUCCCCGGGGGUUUAUCGUGUCCUCUAAUUGGAUCCAGAACCACGCCUUGGGACGACACGUUACAGCUUGUUGCAUCAGCUUGCAUGUAAAAAACUGUCACUGACGUCACAAGGGCGAUAUGCAUUUCGAAGACACAUUGGACAUAUCAUUUUACUCGUCAGGGGGAAACUCUGCUGGUCUACGCAUUUAUCUAUAUAUAGUGAACAUUCUUUGUCAUACGACUGUACUCAUCUGAAUUAUUAAAUAAAUCAUCAAUCGUCGAACGUCUUCUCGUCAGACUAGGCAUUGACCUUUAAGUUGUGUAUUCAAACCUACCAUCGCCGACCGUCAUUCCUAGCCGCUCGGGAAUAUUGCACUCCUGCGGGACUGGCCAAUCCCCCGGGAUACAACAGUAGGAUGACAUUAAGGUGAGUGAUAGAUAAGUUGUGAAAAUUGCAGCUGGAUAGAAGUGAUUGAUAGGUUGUGAACGUUGGAGGUGGAUAGAACUGGCUGAAAUGUUGUGAUGAUUGAAGAUGGGUGGAUCUUUCUCAGGAUUGUGUUCAGUGGUAAGCUUCGGUAUUAGUGGUGUUGAUCUUCAGAUUCAUCCACAACAGUUUCUGUAAAAUAAUUAUAUAGUAAAAUAUAUGGUAAUGUCGUAGGUCAGCAGGUCAGGCAAUUACUUGCAGAGGCCCAGGUCUGUUCAGCUGGAUUUGGGGUGAAUAAAGUGGCACUAGUACAGAUUUUUCUUUCACUGGUGUUCCAUAUUCACUCAUACAUCAUGGGGGGGGGCAGACAGACAAAGGACCCAUUAGCAGCUGCAGUUUUAUUGGGGAUACUAGGAAUGACCCGUACUUCAAGUGCCUGAGCACAGCUGGUCCCAUCUUUUUUGUUGGCUCGAUCUAUAGACAUUUUAGGUAGGACUCCUUGGACGAGGGAUCGGCCCGGCGCAAGGCCUCUACCUGUACACAGGACAGCACAAGACAGAAAAACGCGGACAAACAUCCAUGGCUUGAGUGGGAUUCGAACCCACGGUCCCAGCGACCAAGCGGCACAAGGCCCACGCCUCAGACAGCGCGGCCACUGCGGACCCCAGUUUUGUUGCGACAAAGUCUUAACUUGCCACAACAAUAACAAUUAAAAGUUGGAUCAGACAAGUUGUUUGCUGGUCUGCUGAUCAAGCGUGUAGUGCAACUGGAGCUCAUCCAGACAAAUGACAACAUCGUCUUUUUUCCUGCAACUUCACGGAAGGAAGAUCAAGAAAACUUGGCACUUGCUCAGGCAGACCUGCUGCAUGUAGAAGCUGGCUUGUCAGAGCAGCAGAGGGACCUGAACCUGAGCUCUAAACAUCUCCUACUCCUUACUGAUUGUCUUCUCGAGUCACAUCGCUUUGCUAAGGCCUUCAAUUCAAAUCUUGAACAACGGAACCUACUCUGGAAAGCAGGUUUCAGAUGUAAUGCAAAAGCAAACCUUUUGAAGCAGGAGACUCAGAGUCUAGCUCGUGUACUUCGGAUCCUGUUCAAAAUGCACGGCGAUGAAACGAGGCAGGACGCGUGGCCGACCAUCCAGCAGCGCCUUAUUGCGUUUGCAGCUCAUACAUCCAGUUGCUAUCCCCUCCUCUGUCAAAUUACGUGUUUUGACUUGGAACCGGAACUUCGUCCUGUAUCGCGCCGAUUCUUUUCGCGUAUCGGACCAGUUUUCAACAUCGCGCUGGGAAGUCAGAAAGGGGGCGUACCGUGAUGCUGUGAGACUGGGCGAACUUGUACUCGCCCAUCAAUCAUUACCAGCUGGAACAUCCAGAAAACUACAGUUUGGAGAUGUCGUGCCCUUCACCGAAUCUAGGUCAUGAUGUGAAUGACAGAGAGGGUUGAGCCUGACCUCACAGCUUUAAAACAUUGUUUGAAAGUUGAUACUUUU